rnacentral:rRNA from 1 species
AGAGUUUGAUCCUGGCUCAGGAUGAACGCUAGCUACAGGCUUAACACAUGCAAGUCGAGGGGCAGCAUGAACUUAGCUUGCUAAGUUUGAUGGCGACCGGCGCACGGGUGAGUAACACGUAUCCAACCUGCCGAUGACUCGGGGAUAGCCUUUCGAAAGAAAGAUUAAUACCCGAUGGCAUAGUUCUUCCGCAUGGUAGAACUAUUAAAGAAUUUCGGUCAUCGAUGGGGAUGCGUUCCAUUAGGUUGUUGGCGGGGUAACGGCCCACCAAGCCUUCGAUGGAUAGGGGUUCUGAGAGGAAGGUCCCCCACAUUGGAACUGAGACACGGUCCAAACUCCUACGGGAGGCAGCAGUGAGGAAUAUUGGUCAAUGGACGAGAGUCUGAACCAGCCAAGUAGCGUGAAGGAUGACUGCCCUAUGGGUUGUAAACUUCUUUUAUAUGGGAAUAAAGUUGUCCACGUGUGGAUUUUUGUAUGUACCAUAUGAAUAAGGAUCGGCUAACUCCGUGCCAGCAGCCGCGGUAAUACGGAGGAUCCGAGCGUUAUCCGGAUUUAUUGGGUUUAAAGGGAGCGUAGGCGGAUUGUUAAGUCAGUUGUGAAAGUUUGCGGCUCAACCGUAAAAUUGCAGUUGAUACUGGA